GUGAAGAUGCAGUGUACCCGCGGCAAGACGGAAAGACCCCGUGAACCUUUACUAUAGCUUGACACUGAACAUUGAGCCUUGAUGUGUAGGAUAGGUGGGAGGCUUUGAAGUGUGGACGCCAGUCUGCGAUGGAGCCGAUCUUGAAUACCACCCUUUAAUGUUUGAUGUUCUAACGUGGACCCGUGAUCCGGGUUGCGGACAGUGUCUGGUGGGUAGUUUGACUGGGGCGGUCUCCUCCUAAAGAGUAACGGAGGGUCUCCAGUGUGGAGG
rnacentral:rRNA from 1 species